AUCGCUUCUCGGCCUUUUGGCUAAGAUCAAGUGUAGUAUCUGUUCUUAUCAGUUUAAUAUCUGAUACGUCCCCUACCCGGGGACCAUAUAUUAAAUUGAUUUUUGGAAUAGGGAGAUGGAAUAGGGGCUUGCUCCGUCCACUCCACGCAUCGACCUGGUAUUGCAGUACCUCCAGGAACGGUGCACCCCUU
ensembl:snRNA U2 U2 spliceosomal RNA